rnacentral:lncRNA from 1 species
GGCACUCUUUCUUGCAGCCGUUUUCCAAAACCCUUCGGCGCCGCGUGACCGAGCCAUCCGCGCUAGUGUGUUUUUGCUUAGUAAACCGGUAAACGCGUGCUCCUCGUGGUUCUUCAUUUGCAUUAUAAAUUCAUCUUUGCGUCUUUGUCAGGUCCUUAAGUAUCCUCCUCCGGAUGGCUGAGAUUUUGGGUGUCGUGGCUGUAUACGUUCACCAUUCGGCGACUUGUAAUGAGUUUCAGUCAUAACUCGUGUGUAAAUAAAUAAACAAACAAAUAAAUAAUACUGCAUGCUAGGAGUAUUUUUAUUGCAUCGUAACAAAUGGAUCCAUCGAAACGGGUACUCCAGCGGUAUACGAGCUCGCUGCUUGCAUUGGUGCUUGCUUGCUGAUG